rnacentral:rRNA from 1 species
CCUACGGGGGGCAGCAGUGGGGAAUUUUGCGCAAUGCUCGUAAGAGUGACGCAGCGACGCCGCGUGAAUGACGAAGGCCUUCGGGUCGUAAAGUUCUUUCGACAGGGAAGAAAAUGCCUAUAAGUAACUGUGUAUGUAUUGACGGUACCUGUAUAAGCAGCCCCGGCUAACUCCGUGCCAGCAGCCGCGGUAAUACGGAGGGGGCGAGCGUUGUUCGGAGUUACUGGGCGUAAAGAGCACGUAGGCGGUGUUGAAAGUCAUUAGUAAAAGACUAGAGCUCAACUUUAGUAAGGCUGGUGAUACUAUAGUACUAGGGGAUCAGGGGGGAUUGAAGAAUUCCUGGUGUAGCGGUGAAAUGGGUAGAUAUCAGGAGGAAUACCGUUAGCGAGGGCGGCAAUCUGGCUGGAAACUGACGCUGAGGUGCGAAAGCGUGGGUAGCAAACAGGAUUAGAUACCCUGUAGUC